ACGGGUGAGUAACACGUGGAUAACCUACCUAUAAGACUGGGAUAACUUCGGGAAACCGGAGCUAAUACCGGAUAAUAUUUUGAACCGCAUGGUUCAAAAGUGAAAGACGGUCUUGCUGUCACUUAUAGAUGGAUCCGCGCUGCAUUAGCUAGUUGGUAAGGUAACGGCUUACCAAGGCAACGAUGCAUAGCCGACCUGAGAGGGUGAUCGGCCACACUGGAACUGAGACACGGUCCAGACUCCUACGGGAGGCAGCAGUAGGGAAUCUUCCGCAAUGGGCGAAAGCCUGACGGAGCAACGCCGCGUGAGUGAUGAAGGUCUUCGGAUCGUAAAACUCUGUUAUUAGGGAAGAACAUAUGUGUAAGUAACUGUGCACAUCUUGACGGUACCUAAUCAGAAAGCCACGGCUAACUACGUGCCAGCAGCCGCGGUAAUACGUAGGUGGCAAGCGUUAUCCGGAAUUAUUGGGCGUAAAGCGCGCGUAGGCGGUUUUUUAAGUCUGAUGUGAAAGCCCACGGCUCAACCGUGGAGGGUCAUUGGAAACUGGAAAACUUGAGUGCAGAAGAGGAAAGUGGAAUUCCAUGUGUAGCGGUGAAAUGCGCAGAGAUAUGGAGGAACACCAGUGGCGAAGGCGACUUUCUGGUCUGUAACUGACGCUGAUGUGCGAAAGCGUGGGGAUCAAACAGGAUUAGAUACCCUGGUAGUCCACGCCGUAAACGAUGAGUGCUAAGUGUUAGGGGGUUUCCGCCCCUUAGUGCUGCAGCUAACGCAUUAAGCACUCCGCCUGGGGAGUACGACCGCAAGGUUGAAACUCAAAGGAAUUGACGGGGACCCGCACAAGCGGUGGAGCAUGUGGUUUAAUUCGAAGCAACGCGAAGAACCUUACCAAAUCUUGACAUCCUUUGACAACUCUAG
rnacentral:rRNA from 1 species